rnacentral:rRNA from 1 species
ACGCUCGACACCUACGGGAGGCGGCAGUCGGGAAUAUUGCGCAAUGGAGGAAACUCUGACGCAGUGACGCCGCGUGCAGGAAGAAGGUUUUCGGAUUGUAAACUGCUUUAGACAGGGAAGAAAGAAAUGACAGUACCUGUAGAAUAAGCUCCGGCUAACUACGUGCCGGCAGCCGCGGUAAUCUGAGCGGGCUGGCAAGGC